AAAGAUCAUAGUUUUACACUGUUUAUGUUGAACGUUUUAACGUCCGUCUUAUUUAAAAAAAAUUAUAAUUACUACUUUUGUUGUUAUUAGAUGAUAAAACAUGGAUAGUACUUUAUGCGUGACUAUUUUUUAAAAAAAAUUCAUAUUUUUUAAAAAUAAGACGGAUAGUUAAACGACGUUAGACAUGGAAACAUAUAACAGUUAAA
rfam:Oryza sativa Japonica Group DNA, chromosome 4, cultivar: Nipponbare, complete sequence.